CCUUAAUUCCGGCGACUGACUGACAAUAUCGUUUCCGUGAUACGCAACGUAUUAGUCCCGAUGUAUCCAUUCGUGUUAGCAAUUCUAGACAAUUUAAAUUAUUUAUUUACAUUUUAUCUUACGAAAUAUUCAAAACUGCCAAAUAAAUUUUCAAAACCAAAGAAAUUCAAGAACUUCCGGUGCUUGAAGCAAUCAUAACCACCCGGUUUGGCAGCGUAAUGCAGUCUUGCACGCCACCCGCAUUGGGUAAGCUGUUAAUGUGACACACGUUUUUACUGCAGUAGAAAUACUGUACUUACUACGUAAGCGGCCAUAUUGAUUUUCUCCGCAACGCCACAAACGAAGAACUUCCGUUGAUGUACUCUACUCCAUGUUAAUUGAGCUGAUUCUGGUUUAAUUAUUUGUCCACAGUUCUUAUCAUUAUGGGCCCUUAUUGUGGAUCAAUUCGACGAUUUAUUUAAAUUGUGUUCUUGUGCAAUAGCGAUCUGUGUAUCAGCGGAUCUGUAUCAGCAAGUGCGCGCGCGAGAGACGACACGGACUGCUGCGGAAUAAGAAGAAUUUGUCGUUGUCGUCCAAGCGGGUGACUGUCAGCGGAUGUGGGUUAAUUCUGGGAUUAAGCUUGACAGGCCGAAGUUUCGGUCGACGUCCAUGUGAACAGCAUUCAGCGGAGCAAAAGCAUCUGGGGAAGGAAUAAUAUUUGUAGACUGUAUGACUGUGGAUUUGACUGCUUGAGACGCGUUUUUCGGAUGCAUCAGGAUUACCGUGCGGUUUCUGGUUUCCACGUGUUGGAGUAUUGCUUACUGCAACCUUUUGGAUUCUGGGGCAUUGAAUUGUUGAAGGAGUACGAGCCAGAAAUUGCCAAAGUCAUCCGAUCGGAUAAGCACGUACUCGAAAAUCAUUUGUCGUGACAGUGGAAACAUGGCGGAUCUAAAGAAAAUUAAAAGCGCGGCUGUGCGCAUUGAUGACACAUUCAAAUGCAUGAUGCAUCAGACGUCGGACUCCGCAGAAUACAAUGUUACUUCUUGUUGCGGAAACCUUAUCUGCACGGAAUGUUUCAAAAGUUUGAUAAAAGACCAAGCAGAAAAAGAGAAGAAAAAAGAAGAAGAAAGGGCCAGGACUUGGUAUCAGAAAUAUACGGAUACUGUGUCCGAGGAUACGUCACUGUGUCCGAGCUGCCGAAAGUAACCGGUACUACAUUUAAAUUUAACUUAAAUGCUAUUAUUUUUUUCAGUUAAAUCAGUUGUAUGUCAACAUCCUUACAAGCCUGGGUGGAAGUCGAUUCGCAAGCUGCCUUGGGUGAACGAAGUGCAGAAAGAAAGCUCUAAACUGGUGGAAUCAAUUCAGGCGGCGAUAUCAAUUGGCGGUCGACCGCCAUGUCGGGAGGGGUCGGUGCAGACCGAUCUGGUGACCGUUUGCGCUCAACCUGGGUUGAGGACGUGUUUUAAGCUUUGCCAGUUGCUUUCAUGGACGGUUUCCCUGAACUACAUAGACUUGCGAUACAAGGUGGCCGCAUCUUUUUGACGGGGAAAGAACUGCGUAUGCUGCAAACGCUUAACGCCGUAGCGGUCAAAUUCAGCGCCUAUCCAACUGAACAGCAAUUUCUCAACGCUCUUGGUGUUAAAUAUUAUCGGCUCCUGUACACAAUGGAAGCAACUGUGUUCGACUACGGAGACAUCGCGGCGUUAUUGGAAAAGAUGUCGGCUCCCGCCAAGUUUAUUGCGGAUGUAGCCUUGCCAGAAGAGCAUUUCCGCCCAAAAGUUUUGCGUAAACUACAAGAUUCAACAGAGUAUGUCACGCAAUGGGUUCGGCCAUUCGCUGCAGGCGGAAAAUUCGACGUGGUCCAAGCAAUCCUUGAGCGUUUGGACUUAGCUGCAUCAGAAAGCCGCUGGACUUCGAAGCACCGCAUGCUGUGCACGGCCCCUGCACACAUAGAUGUGCGAAAUGCCGGGUGUAUUCCGCUGUUCGUAAUGAAGAUUUUCAUCAGUAUAAAAUGGAGUCUAAAAAAGAAUACUACGUGCUGUGCGCUCUGUGUGGGCUGAAAGUCGAUUGGAACAAAAUGGAACAACAUGUGCGCACCCGUCACAAUAAAGCGCGCUGGGAAGUUUGUCGUCGAUGUUGGGCUCCGACGGAUGGGCCGCAUGCACAGGACAUCCCACACUGUGUGGUUUGCCCUUUAUCGACAAAAAAUCAGAUAAGCGCACGAUCUGUAUUAAUGUCAAGAUUAAUUUUUGCCAAUUAGGUGAGUGUGCUUAUUACUGUGAAGUGAGACGCAGGCAUAACCGGCAUCGUUCAUGAUUAUUGCAAGACGUAAUCAAAUAUUUGAAUGUUGUUAUCAUUAUUCGCAGUUUUAUUUUAUUUUCCAAUUAAUCUCACAGACUAUUUAUUUCAUUGUCUAUCUUUUGCGAUGUUUACCUGAAAUUUUCUAUGAUAUAAAAAUUAGUACUAAGCUUUGCAAGGCUAACCUUAAACCCUCAAGACAUCAAAGUAUUUCGGAAACAAUUUUACCGGCAAUAGAUUGGCCGAACUGCGUCAAUAGCCCUGCCGACCCGAUACUAUGCAUUGUCUAUGGGAUCUCCAAUAGAUCUGCCAAACGACGACGUGAUGACAACCCUAUACCAUAUACUAGUGACUGCUCAACGAGCCGAUGCGUUCUUGUCCGACAGUUGCGGUGGACAAACGAAACGGAAUGGUUGCGGUGGACAAACUCACUUUGUUGAAAUUUGCGAUCUUUAAAAAAUUAAGAACGCCGGGUUGAUGACAGUUCACCUUUGUCGUGCAAGGCUUGUAGUGGUUGCAAUCCAUCAAUUUGCAGAAACUGACCUUUCAAAAUUUCUAAUUAUGCCGAAGUAAUGAAAGUUAUCAAAGGGUGUUUUGGUACAAGUAUGCUGGUUAAAUUUUCAUGGGUCAAUCCGAUAUCCGACAAAACUGAGGGUAAGCAUCUGGAAGUUUGGAUUUCAGCCGCUUGCAUUGGAUAUUUUUUAG